GGAUGGGGGCGUGUUCUCUCUGCUGUCUCCUGAAGUCCAGAGUCAGCUCCUUCACUUUGUUGACUUUGAGGGAGAGGUUAUUUUCCUGGCAUCACUCCGCCAGUCCCCUCAUCUCAUCCCUGUAGGCCUAAUCGACAUUGGAGAUGGGAUAAUGCAGUGUUCAGUGCGAUGGCAAUUGUGGCAUCCAUGGAUCUGUUGGGGCGGUCUGCAAAUUGUGGUGUGUCUAGGGUGUCAGGAACAAUGGUGGACAUCUUGAAGCAAGUGGGGACAACAGACAGAGAUUAAUUAUGUUCGUAAACACUCCAGUCAGUUGGUCAGCACAUACUCUGAGGACGCAGCUUGGGACGCCGUCUUGGUCGGAGGGUUAACACACUUAAAUAUCCGUGGAGGCAGCUGAACGGAGGACGGCUCAUAAUAAUGGCUGGAACGGAGCGAAUGGAAUGGCAUCACAUCAAACACAU